GAGGGUAUAGCUCAAGUGGUAGAGCACAUGCUUAGCAAUGCACAAAGUCCUGGGUUCAAUCCCCAGUGCCUCCA
rnacentral:tRNA from 1 species